rnacentral:rRNA from 1 species
CGUCUAUAUACGUAUAGCAUAUCAAUAAGCGGAGGAAAAGAAACUAACAAGGAUUCCCUUAGUAACGGCGAGUGAAGCGGGAAGAGCUCAAAUUUGAAAUCUUCAAGGUUCUACCUUGACGAAUUGUAGUUUAAAGAAGUGUUUUCUGUUAGAGGAGUAGCAAUAGUUCCUUGGAAUGGGACAUCAUAGAGGGUGAGAAUCCCGUAUUUGGUUAUUCUUUCUAGCUUUGUGAUACACUUUCAAAGAGUCGGAUUGUUUGGGAAUGCAGUCCGAAAUGGGUGGUAAAUUUCAUCUAAAGCUAAAUAUUGGCGAGAGACCGAUAGCGAACAAGUACCGUGAGGGAAAGAUGAAAAGAACUUUGAAAAGAGAGUUAAACAGUACGUGAAAUUGUCAAAAGGGAAGCGUUUGACGCCCGUGUUGUUUUUCCGAAAAUCAAUUAAGAGUGGCUUGAUUUUGUGUUGUAUUGACCUUAUCAGCUUUCUUCACUCUUUUUCGAGUCUUUCUUAAUGCACUUUUCGGUUAACAAGUCAACAUCAAUUUCUUUUGUUGUAAAAGGGUAUUUGGAAGGUGGCUUUCUUUUCGGAGAAAGUGUUUAUAGCCUUAUACCUCUACAAUCGGAGAGAUUGAGGUCUGCAGCGUAGAUCCUUCGGGGCUAGAUACACUUGUGCUAAGUUAUAGCUUUUCAUAGACAACUUGUUGACUAUGUUUAGUCAUGUAGCUUACCCGCUUGUGCUAUUUUACCUACGCUUAGGAUGUUGAGUCAUCACACAUCUCU